rnacentral:rRNA from 1 species
GUGGCAAGGAUAGCUUGGCGCAUAGUGGGAGUGCUGCUUGGGACUAAUUUAUGUCCCAACAAUCUAUGUCAGUUUUACUCUUGGUGCUAUGCUUUUCUACCUUAGGGGGAGCAAUAUUUCACAAUGGGGAUAGCAGCCAUUUGCUGGGCUAUUUGGAAUCGCAGAAACCAGGCUACUUUUGAAUUCAAGAAACUGUCAUCUCCUUUUGAGAUUGUUUUCACUACAUGUAUGCAUCUAUCUUACUGGGCAGGACUCCUGAAGGGUGAAAGGCGAACAGAGCUAGAGUGCGGUGCACUGAUUAUGAAGGAGAAUGCUAAAGAGAUGACGAGUCCCUGCGCGACCGCGUAUGUUGGUGACACUGUGGAGUGA